AAACAAACCAGCAGCCUGAUCCUCCACCUCGAUCCGUCCUCUGCCUUUAGUUACUUCUCCCGCUUUGUAUGUGACAUAAUUCACUGUGCAGUGUAACAGAGAGGAUGCUGGGAGAAGUAAUCCAUCCACCGCUCUUAGGCCUCUGCUAAUAAAACUAUUAAUAUGCCGUUUGUGUGUGCGUAAGUGAGAGUGGGGACCCUCCUAUUCGCAGCAUUACCGCGCUAUUUGACUGAGGCGGUUGUCACGGCGACGAACAAGCAGCGUGACACAAGAGCGAAGCGACGCGGCAUAAAUACACAGCGAGGAGGACUCGACACUCGUCUGUUAAUCCACGCUGAUGAUGCAUAGAAAUGUGAUAACACGCUUUACAUGUCACUCUGGGGCGCAGCCCUGUUAAAGGGUUCAUAUUAGACAUGCUAAGACACACUGAAAUAAAAGUUGCUCCUCUUCCUUCUCUCUCGGUCACCUAAACGAUACCUUUCCGAGGAAAGUCAUGGGUUAGAAAUGCAAUGUGAGUUGCUUUGGAGAAAAGCGUCAGCUAAAUGACCUGUAAUGUAAAGUUUGUUACUACUCGGGUGAAAUUGUCACGGCCACUUUUUCGCCUUACAAAAUAGAAAUUCACAGCCUUUAAUGUGAAAGACAGAUUUUGAAUAAAAAUUGCAUGUGUAUGCAUUUGUUAAAUGUUUUAGCAUUAUUGUGGACCAGGCCUCAAAGCCCACCAGAGGGAUCAUUUGUUUGAUGAAUGAUAAAACUUCAGUUCAUGCACAGAUGGUCCCACACUGCCAUUUAGUCACGGUGAAUAUUAAUAUUCUAAUAAAUUGUGAGUGUGUUGGCGCGUGUGCGUGCAUGAGUGUUCAACCCUAUUUUCUCCCGUGUAUUGACGGCAGCGAGCUCGCCGCGUUUCUCAGGACAGGCAGGAGACGGAGCCAUCACUCUUCUCUUCUCACCGCACGCUUUUCUCCCCCCCCUCCUCACCACGUUGCUCCUCUACGGCACGGAAGACGUAAGUGCCUGAGACAGAUGUCUGCUGCCUCUUGUCUAAACCCCUCAACGCGAGAUGCUGAGCUCGGCAAACUCUAAUUAAGAUCAAUAUUUCAAUUUUUAGUAAAAGCGCACGAGACGGAGAGAAGACUGAGGGAGAGAAAUCAUCCCUCCACGUGGGCUCGGAGAGCCGAAAAGAAAGAUAUAUCACGCACGUAUCGGUUGGCUGAUGGAAGGGGCGGCGGGGUGCUGAUGCUGAGGAGGCUAAACGGGUCAGGUGCACCAGUGUCAUGCUCC
ensembl:lncRNA